rnacentral:lncRNA from 1 species
GUCUCUCUUUACUAGAACUCCACAACUCCACAGCAGCACAGAAAAAACAACCAAUCAGAAAAAAGUUAGGUACUUUAAAACUCCCCUCCCCAUGCAUCAUUUCCUCUUUCAAGCUGCGACAAAAACAGAACAAAAGGCAGAAAACCUAAUGGGGAAGAAACGAAGUCCUAGAUACAAUGAAUACAACAAUGUCCACUAUCCGAGAAGAACUGUCAAACCAGAUAGCAUUGAUGGACUGUAAACUGAAACGAGAGAAAAACAGAAUCGAACAGGUUGGUUAUCCAAUGAAAUGUACUCUGAACAAACAUGUAGG